UCUUCAAAGAUAAGGAAUAAUCUCUUAGUACUUCUCAAGUACUUGGAGAUAUUUUUCACAGCUAUCUAAUGUUCACAGCUUGGAUUUGACUAAUAUCUACUCGUGACUUUCACAGUAAAAUAUACCAAGUCGAGUACAUAGCAUGGCAUACACUUAUGCCCAAGAGGAUAACAGAUCUCUCUUGAAGGUUUCAAUGCUGAACCCUUUCAACACCUCUUCUAUGUACUUGUCUGUGAAAAACAAACAUCCUUUCAAGAUCCAUCUUAUAGACCUUUAUUUCCAGAAUGUUUGACCUAGCUCUUUGAAAGAAAAAUUUUAUAUGUAACCACAUCAUAACCGAUGUUAGUAUGGGACCCUCCCACUGACCUUCGUGUAACUAUAUGAUUCCUCAUAUUACAUCAUUGUAGGAUUUUUGGGAUCAUCCCUAUGUUCCUAAUCUCCCUCGAGAAAUACUUUCUUUGAAUCUUUUGUAAGAAUACCAAGUACCUUUCUAAAGGAUGGGAGAUCCUACUAGAUCUAUGAGGUGGAGGAGGUACUACAUAUACUGACUCAUCUUAAAUAGGUUGUACUGAUCCUGUGACUUGUUGUUCUUUAGAGAUUUCUCUUAGAGUUCAUCCUCCCACUAUUUUUAAGAAAACAAU
rnacentral:lncRNA from 1 species